CUCAGUUGCCAACAAUAGGCUUUUUGUGGGCUCUAUUCCUAAAAGUAAAACCAAGGAACAGAUUCUUGAAGAAUUUAGCAAAGUAACAGAGGGUCUUACAGACGUCAUUUUAUACCACCAACCGGAU